ACUUCAUAUGAAAAUAAAGAUAUGUUGUACGAUUGCCAAGUAGACAAUUAUCCAUCAGGGGCAAUGAUUUAAACAACCAAAGAUCACUGUACAGCCUUCAACAAUGUUAACACGUAUACCUGUUCCAACUAACUAGAAACUUUGUUAAUAAUAUUGCCAUAUUAUCUGUUCUUGUUGGAACCAAUAUUUUAUACUCUUUCAGUGGCGGAUCCAAUAAUUUUAAGAAGUGGGGGCCUGCUCCAGUGAUUCCCUAUAUAAUCAACUAAACUUUUCCAAGAAAGGGGGGGGGGGGCCCACCCUAAAUCCGCAAGGAAAAAAUACUGUUAUGCAUUUUGUAGUUGUUCCCUAGGAAAUAAAAUUGCAGAAUAUUUCUUAUAUUUCAUGACAUAGUCCCUGACAUGCCAAAUUUGAACAAAUUGAAGAGUAAACCAAUGGCCCUUUUUUUAUAUAAAAAUAAACGGGGAAAUAUGUUCAUGGGACACAAAUGAUGCCCCUGCUUGCAUAUAAGAUUAUAUAGACAUAACUCAAUACAGUAAUAGUGACACUUCACAAAUUUGUACUUGAUCUGUGUGCAAGUUUCUUGGCAUUUGGUAGAGGCAAACGUAAGUUAGAGAUCGGAAACAAAAAAUUCAGCAUUUUUUUUCUUUGAACAGGGGCUUAAUUUUGAAAUGGUUUAAGGGACACUUUCAAAAUUCAACUUGAUCUGUGUAAAGUUUCAUAACAUUUGGUUUAGGCAAACUAAAGUAAGACAAAGGAAUCCAAUUUUGGGACGUGUAGACAGACAUGGGUAAAAGGCAAAGGGC
rnacentral:lncRNA from 1 species